rnacentral:rRNA from 1 species
GUGGGGAAUCUUGCGCAAUGGGCGAAAGCCUGACGCAGCCAUGCCGCGUGAAUGAUGAAGGUCUUAGGAUUGUAAAAUUCUUUCGUCAGGGAUGAUAAUGACCGUACCUGAAGAAGAAGCCCCGGCUAACUUCGUGCCAGCAGCCGCGGUAAUACGAAGGGGGCUAGCGUUGUUCGGAAUUACUGGGCGUAAAGCGCACGUAGGCGGACUUUUAAGUCAGGUGUGAAAUCCCGGGGCUCAACCUCGGAACUGCAUUUGAAACUGGAAGUCUUGAGAUCAGGAGAGGUUAGCGGAAUACCGAGUGUAGAGGUGAAAUUCGUAGAUAUUCGGUGGAACACCAGUGGCGAAGGCGGCUAACUGGACUGAUACUGACGCUGAGGUGCGAAAGUGUGGGGAGCAAACAGGAUUAGAUACCCGUGUAGUCC